AGUCUUGUAGCUCAGUGGUAAGAGCGCUUACCUGACAAGCAAGAGGACCAGGGAUCGAUUCCCAGGCAGGACGA